ensembl:snoRNA LOC120099029 small nucleolar RNA SNORA26
GUCCCCAGCUCCGAAAAAAAGAACCAAAAAAAAAAAGAGGUUAACACAGAAGGGUAAAGGAAGUCUCCGUAAAACCCAGAGAGGAAAACUGCACCUCCUCUUUGGAUCCUGUCUGGAGUCACAAAU